rnacentral:rRNA from 1 species
GACGAACGCUGGCGGCGUGCUUAACACAUGCAAGUCGAACGGAAAGGCCCUGCUUUUGUGGGGUGCUCGAGUGGCGAACGGGUGAGUAACACGUGAGUAACCUGCCCUUGACUUUGGGAUAACUUCAGGAAACUGGGGCUAAUACCGGAUAGGAGCUCCUGCUGCACGGUGGGGGUUGGAAAGUUUCGGCGGUGGGGGAUGGACUCGCGGCUUAUCAGCUUGUUGGGGGGGUAGUGGCUUACCAAGGCUUUGACGGGUAGCCGGCCUGAGAGGGGGACCGGCCACCAUGCGACUGAGGUACGGCCCAGACUCCUACGGGAGGCAGCAGUGGGGAAUAUUGCACAAUGGGCGGAAGCCUGAUGCAGCAACGCCGCGUGCGGGAUGACGGCCUUCGGGUUGUAAACCGCUUUCGCCUGUGACGAAGCGUGAGUGACGGUAAUGGGUAAAGAAGCACCGGCUAACUACGUG